UCCAGACUCCUACGGGAGGCAGCAGUCGGGAAUAUUGCACAAUGGAGGAAACUCUGAUGCAGUGACGCCGCGUGCAGGAAGAAGGUUUUCGGAUUGUAAACUGCUUUAGACAGGGAAGAAACAAGACAGUACCUGUAGAAUAAGCUCCGGCUAACUACGUGCCAGCAGCCGCGGUAAUACGUAGGGAGCAAGCGUUAUCCGGAUUUAUUGGGUGUAAAGGGUGCGUAGACGGGUAUAUAAGUUAGUUGUGAAAUCCCUCGGCUCAACUGAGGAACUGCAACUAAAACUGUAAAUCUUGGGUGCGGGAGAGGAAAGUGGAAUUCCUAGUGUAGCGGUGAAAUGCGUAGAUAUUAGGAGGAACACCAGUGGCGAAGGCGACUUUCUGGACCGUAACUGACGUUGAGGCACGAAAGUGUGGGGAGCAAACAGGAUUAGAUACCCCCGUAAG
rnacentral:rRNA from 1 species